AGGACCCCGGGAAGAAGGCCACUGCACCUCUGACACCUGAUGCCGGCUCCCCUUCAAGCGGGAAGGGUAAACACUCCAAUGGAUAUGACCGAGGGCCUUUCCUCGCUGGUCAAGUUCAGCCACGAGCCCAGGGACAUUGAUGUAGACAUCAUCGUCGGUUUUGAGGACAUAAUGGACGUUGGGGCAGUACCUGGCUGCCCACGCCAGUCCACUUAAGGUUUUCAGGCUGUAAUGGAGAAAAAAGGAAUGCAUCUUGCCCACUGCUGAGAUUUCUGAACUAAAAAGUUAUUUAAGGAGAGACAGAAAC